rfam:Triticum aestivum genome assembly, contig: Triticum_aestivum_CS42_TGACv1_scaffold_230952_3B
AGCAUACUCCCUCCAUCCGAAAAAGCUUGUCCCUCAAAUGGAUGUAUCUAGCACCAAGUUAGUGCUAGAUACAUCCAUUUGAGGGACAAGCUUGGGACAAGUUUUUUCGGAUGGAGUGAGUACAAU